GUGCUCGAUCUGCUGCGGGCAGAUGAAAUGGAUGUGGGCGUCGAAGCCGCCGGCGGUGAGGAUCUUGCCUUCGCCGGCGAUGAUAUCGGUGCCGGGGCCGAUGAUGAUGGUCACGCCAGGUUGGAUGUCGGGAUUGCCGGCCUUGCCGAUGGCGCUGAUAUAGCCGUCCUUGAUGGCGACGUCGGCCUUGACGAUGCCCCAAUGAUCGACGAUCAGCGCGUUGGUGAUCACGGUGUCGGCGGCGCCCUGGGCGUUAGUCACCUGGCUCUGCCCCAUGCCGUCGCGGAUCAC
rfam:Rhodopseudomonas palustris strain BAL398 c605l7256c238.670486, whole genome shotgun sequence.